rnacentral:lncRNA from 1 species
GUUUUCCUCUUUUGUUUUUAAUCAAGGCCAUCAAGUGAAGAGUUUCUGCUACAGCACAUACUCCAGGCACAGCACGCAAGACCAUGUCCCACAGACAGCCCCAAAGCAACAAGGAAACAAGAACAAAAGACAGCCAAAGGGAGGCAGACAGGCUGGAGAAAGAGUGCAAGGUAUGUUCUCUGAUAGCUGUUGCUUGGGGCCAAGUGCAAGUGAUCUCCGCAUUCCAUAGAAAUGGCUCCUGAUUGACCACAAGAGCUGCUGUGCCUCAGGACACUACAAAAGAGAAGAAUUUGCAGCUCUCUACAUCCCUCAGGGUAUUAACUCCAAAACUGUGGGUUGUCCAUAUGUGAGCACCAAGCAUAUCCUGUGGCACCUGCUACUUGGCACAGCUUUCCUUUCAGGAACCCAGUAACCUGUGGCCACUGGUGGCUGCAGGCCUCGUUGGAGGAAGUAUGUCACUGUGGACGUGGGUAAUGAGAACCUGCUCCUAACCAUAUGAGAGCCAAUCUUCUCCUCGCUGAUUUUGGAACAAGAGGUAGAAGUCUCAGAAGUCUCAGUUCUCCAGUGCCAUGCCUGCCUAGAUGCUGCCAUGCUUCCUGCCAUAAUGAUAAAGGACUGAGCCUCUGAAUCU